rnacentral:rRNA from 1 species
GACGAACGCUGGCGGCGUGCUUAACACAUGCAAGUCGAACGGAAAGGCCCCUUUUGGGGUACUCGAGUGGCGAACGGGUGAGUAACACGUGAGUAACCUGCCCUUGACUUCGGGAUAACUUCAGGAAACUGGGGCUAAUACCGGCUAGGAAUCCUUGCUGCAUGGUGGGGGUUGGUAAGCUUCGGCGGUUUUGGAUGGACUCGCGGCUUAUCAGCUUGUUGGUGGGGUAGUGGCUUACCAAGGCUUUGACGCGUAGCCGGCCUGAGAGGGCGACCGGCCACCUUGGGACUGAGAUACGGCACAGACUCCUACGGGAGGAAGAAGUGGGGAAUAUUGCACAAUGCGCGGAAGCCUGAUGCAGCAACGCCGCGUGCGGGAUGACGGCCUUCGGGUUGUAAACCGCUUUCAGCAGGGGCGAAGCUUGUGGUGACGGUACCUGCAGAAGAAGCACCGGCUAACUACGUG